AGCGAACGCUGGCGGCAGGCUUAACACAUGCAAGUCGAACGGUCCUUCGGGAUAGUGGCGGACGGGUGAGUAACACGUGGGAACGUACCCUUAGGUUCGGAACAACACAGGGAAACUUGUGCUAAUACCGGAUAAGCCCUUCGGGGGAAAGAUUUAUCGCCUUUGGAGCGGCCCGCGUCUGAUUAGCUUGUUGGUGAGGUAAUGGCUCACCAAGGCUACGAUCAGUAGCUGGUCUGAGAGGAUGGCCAGCCACACUGGGACUGAGACACGGCCCAGACUCCUGCGAGAGGCAGCAGUGGGGAAUCUUGCGCAAUGGGCGAAAGCCUGACGCAGCCAUGCCGCGUGGAUGAUGAAGGUCUUAGGAUUGUAAAAUCCUUUCACCGGGGACGAUAAUGACGGUACCCGGAGAAGAAGCCCCGGCUAACUUCGUGCCAGCCGCCGCGGUAA
rnacentral:rRNA from 1 species